rnacentral:rRNA from 1 species
UACGGAAGGCAGCAGUGGGGAAUAUUGCACAAUGGGCGCAAGCCUGAUGCAGCCAUGCCGCGUGUAUGAAGAAGGCCUUCGGGUUGUAAAGUACUUUCAGUCGUGAGGAAGGUGUUAAGGUUAAUAACCUUAGCAAUUGACGUUAGCGACAGAAGAAGCACCGGCUAACUCCGUGCCAGCAGCCGCGGUAAUACGGAGGGUGCGAGCGUUAAUCGGAAUUACUGGGCGUAAAGGGCACGCAGGCGGUUAAUUAAGUUGGAUGUGAAAUCCCCGGGCUUAACCUGGGAAUGGCAUUCAAGACUGGUUAGCUAGAGUCUUGUAGAGGGGGUAGAAUUCCAUGUGUAGCGGUGAAAUGCGUAGAGAUGUGGAGGAAUACCGGUGGCGAAGGCGGCCCCUGGACAAAGACUGACGCUCAUGUGCGAAAGCGUGGGGAGCAAACAGGGAUUAAUACC